rnacentral:lncRNA from 1 species
CUUCAUCUGCCAAGAGCUUUAGAGAGAGAGGGAGACGAGAAGAAGAAGAAAAGGCAUAGAAACAUCGAGGUUUUGGUAAGGAAUUCAGUAUUUACUUUUAAACAUCCUAAGGAGCAUUUCCAGAGUAAAAUUAAUAAGGUUUAAAUUAGUGAUUUCAUGGUUAGUUUUAUGCCUAAACUAAGUAAUUUCACAUGUUAAUACAUGUUCUAUGAUCGUGCAUGAACUUGUUAAUUUGCAUGUGUAAUUUAGAUGAAGUAAAUAUUGAUAUGUGAUGCAAUAUGGUAGAAAAAUUAUUAAGCAUGAAACGAUGUACAAACAUGAGAAACAUGUAUUAAUAUUGGCAUGCAUAAUGUAUAAAGCAUUUCGUUAGUCUUUUUAUCUCUGAGGGAUUUCUAUUUCUCCCCCAUCUGGUCUGAAAAGACGUGAGAGGAUCGCUCCCUGUGGAUGACGGCAUACCCUCUGAUGAGAGUGGUGAUGCGUAAUGAUUGUAGGGGUCAUCUUAAGCAAAGUAUGGUCGUGGCCAUAGUUAACAUGUAGGACCACUGUGGUUUGUACGACUGUGGUCAUAGAUCGUGUCAUGGUUUGGCAAGCUGUAAAUUUGAUAUUGGUUUAGCAAGCCGUAAAUGUGUUGUUAGUUUAAGAAGACACAAAUUGCUGUUACAAAUUAAAUGAAUUUUUCAUUCCACAUGGGUAGCCGGGAAUCUGUAUCACCCUCAAAAGAUGGAAGUCGGAAUGACUUCACAAAAAAUGACACAAAAAUAGUGCAUAUCAUGAUUUAUUUGAUUUUCUCUAUUUUUAGCAUGAUAUACUUGAUUGAUAUGAUAUGACUAUGGUAUGAUAUUUUCUUUAAAUAAAAUAAAUUACUUUCAUAGUUUAAUAAAGAACCCUGACAUGACUCUUGAUGGUAAGAAAUGAUGAUAUCUUUAAUUACCUUUAAAAUCUUAUGAUGUUAUUUAAAUAUUGUUUUCCUUACUGAGUAUAUAGAACUCACUCCUUUCCAUGCCCCCCCUCUAGAUGGGAAAGAUAAUGAGGAAUUGAUCGCUGACCUACCACUUGAAGUCUUUGAGGAUCCCGUGGAUCCUUAAACUUUUAUAAAUGCAUGACUUGUCUCGCACUCUGAUGAGUCCUUUUACAUAAUUAUAGAAGUUCCCC